UGUCCGGCCCAUUUUAAACUUGGUCCCGCCGGACGUCCUCCCUUUUCCGCCGCGGCGCGCUCCUGGGGUUACAUUCUGUUGAGCCAUUCGGUUUGACACGUCUGAAAGCCUGGAGUGACUGGCAGUAUGAGCCACAGUAUUUAAGGACUGGACACAGCAGGGUCCAGGACCACGGUUUCUUUCCUCCCCCUGUUCAUCUUAGCAAGCAAGAGUGAUGCUGCUUCUGAUUUUGAAAUCAGUGUGCGUGGUGCUAUGCCCAGGGUGUUAAUGAACACAAGCUUGGUGGCUUGAGAUGAACUGGUACAACUUGGAGAAGAAAAAGGAAAUGCCGUGAAAUGACCUGACGGUGAGUAAAUCUACCAUUGCCUGCCAGCCUAACCUGCUUUGACCCCUCAUCAACCCCACUCAGUUAGAAAAAGACUUGCCUCCCUUAUCAUGUAUUGCAAAGUAGCCCUCUGAUAUGGUCACAUGGCUGCCUGAACAAAUAGCCAUUAGGAAAUAGAUUUCUCAGAAAUGGAGACUUGGAGACUUUGUCUCUUAUUCCUGCCUAAAUGGCCAACUGUCAUUGGAAAGGGAACAUCAUAAAUGUGGUCUGGUUACAUCAGGCACAGGCCCCUCCUGGGGGCCUGGCUGGGGCUUCUGUUUUGCCUAGAAAAGAAAACAAAACACUGCCCACAAGGGAGAAAUCCGCCCCAACCUUUCAAAGGCCCCCCCCAAAACCUAAUCUACUGCUCUCCUUGGCCACGAUGCCCUUCUCUACUCUUAGCAGCCCUGCAGUUGAUUUCCAAUAAACUUUUCU